rnacentral:rRNA from 1 species
CCUACGUGAGGCUGCAGUGGGGAAUAUUGGGCAAUGGAGGCAACUCUUACCCAGCAAUGCCGCGUGAAUGAAGAAGGUCUUCGGAUUGUAAAGUUCUUUAAUUGGGGACGAAAAAAAUGACGGUACCUGACCAAGAAGCCCCGGCUAACUACGUGCCAGCAGCCGCGGUAAUACGUAGGGGGCAAGCGUUAUCCGGAUUUACUGGGUGUAAAGGGAGCGUAGACGGCAAGGCAAGUCUGGAGUGAAAGCCCGUGGCCCAACCACGGGACUGCUUUGGAAACUGUGUUGCUGGAGUGCAGGAGGGGUAAGCGGAAUUCCUAGUGUAGCGGUGAAAUGCGUAGAUAUUAGGAGGAACACCGGUGGCGAAGGCGGCUUACUGGACUGUAACUGACGUUGAGGCUCGAAGGCGUGGGGAGCAAACAGGAUUAGAUACCCUUGUAGUC